AUGAGCAAUCAAACAGAGAAAAGCGUAAUGACCAAUAUGCAGUCGGGAGCAGCGGCAUACCGGAGGCGGCCGCCCCUGACAUCAAUCACAUCUCUCUCUGGCCUAGGGCGAGACCGGAAGGGGUCAGGGGUAGAACGUACCUUCUCAAGGGCGGAGGAGCGGCGCUGGCCAGGCUUGGAGGGCGUCGUCCGGGUGCACGCGGCGGGGAAGGCGGUGGUGGAACGACGGCUUGCCGUGGCAGCCUUGGAACCGCAGCCUCCAACAUGUGCCACAUACCAUCAAACCACAAGGACGGGGCUUGCCUGCUCCGUGAAAAUACUCCCAUCCGUGCUCCCCCGGUAA
rnacentral:rRNA from 1 species